rnacentral:rRNA from 1 species
UCGUAACAAGGUCUCCGUUGGUGAACCAGCGGAGGGAUCAUUAAAGAGUUCUAUAACUCCCAAACCCAUGUGAACAUACCUUACGUUGCCUCGGCAGGUCGCGCCUACCUAGUAGCACCCUACCCUGUAGGGCCUACCCGGGAGACGCGGGUAAGCCUGCCGGCGGCCCACGAAACUCUGUUUAAUAUUGAAUUCUGAACAUAUAACUAAAUAAGUUAAAACUUUCAACAACGGAUCUCUUGGUUCUGGCAUCGAUGAAGAACGCAGCGAAAUGCGAUAAGUAAUGUGAAUUGCAGAAUUCAGUGAAUCAUCGAAUCUUUGAACGCACAUUGCGCCCAUUAGUAUUCUAGUGGGCAUGCCUGUUCGAGCGUCAUUUCAACCCUUAAGCCUCUGUUGCUUAGUGUUGGGAGCCUACAGCACCUGUAGCUCCUCAAAGUUAGUGGCGGAGUCGGUUUACACUCUAGACGUAGUAAUUUUAUCUCGCCUAUUAGUUGGACCGGUCUCCCGCCGUAAAACCCCUAUUUUUAAAGGUUGACCUCGGAUCAGGUAGGAAUACCCGCUGAACUUAAGCAUAUCAGGAGCAAAAGAAACCAACAGGGAUUGCCCUAGUAACGGCGAGUGAAGCGGCAACAGCUCAAAUUUGAAAUCUGGCCCUCGGGUCCGAGUUGUAAUUUGUAGAGGAUGCUUUUGGCGCGGUGCCUUCCGAGUUCCCUGGAACGGGACGCCUUAGAGGGUGAGAGCCCCGUACGGUUGGACACCAAGCCUCUGUAAAGCUCCUUCGACGAGUCGAGUAGUUUGGGAAUGCUGCUCUAAAUGGGAGGUAAAUUUCUUCUAAAGCUAAAUAUUGGCCAGAGACCGAUAGCGCACAAGUAGAGUGAUCGAAAGAUGAAAAGCACUUUGAAAAGAGGGUUAAAUAGCACGUGAAAUUGUUGAAAGGGAAGCGUUUGCGACCAGACCUUUUCCUAGCGGAUCAACCGGUGUUCUCACCGGUGCACUUCGCUAGGUUUAGGCCAGCAUCGGUUUCUGUAGGGGGAUAAAAGCUCUGGGAACGUAGCUCCUCCGGGAGUGUUAUAGCCCUCUGCAUAAUACCCUUACGGGGACCGAGGACCGCGCUUCGGCAAGGAUGCUGGCGUAAUGGUCGUCAACGACCCGUCU